rnacentral:rRNA from 1 species
CCUACGGGAGGCAGCAGUGGGGGAUAUUGCACAAUGGGGGGAACCCUGAUGCAGCGACGCCGCGUGGGUGAAGAAGCGCCUCGGCGCGUAAAGCCCUGUCAGCAGGGAAGUAAAUGACGGUACCUGUAGCAGAAGCCCUGGCUAACUACGUGCCAGCACCCGCGGUACUACGUCGGGGGCAGGCGUUAUCCGGAUUUACUGGGUGUAAAGGGGGCGCAGACGGGGUUGCAAGACAGUAGGGAAAGACCGGGGCCCAACCGCGAGACUGCUAUUGGAACUGCGUGGCUGGAGUGCAGGAGGGGCAGGCGGAAUUCCUGGUGUAGCGGUGAAAUGCUUAGAUAUCAGGAGGAACACCGAUGGCGAAGGCGGCCUGCUGGACUGCAACUGACGUUGAGGCCCGAAAGCGUGGGGAGCAAACAGGAUUAGAUACCCGAGUAGUC